CUGAGACACGGUCCAGACUCCUACGGGAGGCAGCAGUGGGGAAUAUUGCACAAUGGACGAAAGUCUGAUGCAGCAACGCCGCGUGGAGGAUGACACAUUUCGGUGCGUAAACUCCUUUUAUAUAGGAAGAUAAUGACGGUACUAUAUGAAUAAGCACCGGCUAACUCCGUGCCAGCAGCCGCGGUAAUACGGAGGGUGCAAGCGUUACUCGGAAUCACUGGGCGUAAAGAGCGUGUAGGCGGGUAUAUAAGUCGGAAGUGAAAUCCAAUAGCUUAACUAUUGAACUGCUUUCGAAACUGUUUACCUAGAAUGUGGGAGAGGUAGAUGGAAUUUCUGGUGUAGGGGUAAAAUCCGUAGAGAUCAGAAGGAAUACCGAUUGCGAAGGCGAUCUACUGGAAACAUUAUUGACGCUCAGAUGCGAAAGCGUGGGGAGCAAACAGGAUUAGAUACCCUGGUAGUCCACGCCCUAAACGAUGUACACUAGUUGUUGCUAUACUAGAUAUGGCAGUAAUGCAGUUAACACAUUAAGUGUGCCGCCUGGGGAGUACGGUCGCAAGAUUAAAACUCAAAGGAAUAGACGGGGACCCGCACAAGCGGUGGAGCAUGUGGUUUAAUUCGACGAUACACGAAAAACCUUACCUGGCCUUGACAUAGUAGGAAUCUUUAAGAGAUUAGAGAGUGCUAGCUUGCUAGAACCUACAUACAGGUGCUGCACGGCUGUCGUCAGCUCGUGUCGUGAGAUGUUGGGUUAAGNCCCGCAACGAGCGCAACCCACGNGAUUAGUUGCUAACGGUUCGGCCGAGAACUCUAAUCAGACUGCCUUCGUAAGGAGGAGGAAGGUGUGGNCGACGUCAAGUCAUCAUGGCCCUUACGGCCAGGGCUACACACGUGCUACAAUGGGAUAUACAAAGAGUCGCAAUACCGCGAGGUGGAGCAAAUCUAGAAAAUAUCUCCCAGUUCGGAUUGUUCUCUGCAACUCGAGAACAUGAAGUUGGAAUCGCUAGUAAUCGUGGAUCAGCAUUGCCACGGUGAAUACGUUCCCGGGUCUUGUACUCACCGCCCGUCACACCAUGGGAGUUGAUUUCAUUCGAAGCGGGGAUGCUAAAGUAGCUACCUUCCACAAUGGGAUUAGCGA
rnacentral:rRNA from 1 species